UACGUAGGGUGCAAGCGUUGUCCGGAAUUAUUGGGCGUAAAGAGCUCGUAGGCGGUUUGUCGCGUCGGCCGUGAAAACUUGGGGCUUAACUCCAGCUUGCGGUCGAUACGGGCAGACUUGAGUUCGGCAGGGGAGACUGGAAUUCCUGGUGUAGCGGUGAAAUGCGCAGAUAUCAGGAGGAACACCGGUGGCGAAGGCGGGUCUCUGGGCCGAUACUGACGCUGAGGAGCGAAAGCGUGGGGAGCGAACAGG
rnacentral:rRNA from 1 species